rnacentral:rRNA from 1 species
CCCUUAGAUGUUCUGGGCUGCACGCGCGCUACACUGAAGCGUUCAACGAGUAUUCACCUUGCCCGGGAGGGUUGGGUAAUCUUUUGAAAACGCUUCGUGAUGGGGAUAGAUUAUUGCAAUUAUUAAUCUUCAACGAGGAAUUCCUAGUAAGCGCGAGUCAUCAGCUCGUGCUGAUUACGUCCCUGCCCUUUGUACACACCGCCCGUCGCUCCUACCGAUUGAGUGGUCCGGUGAAUAAUUCGGACUGAGGAUUUAGGCAGUUUCUGUCUUUAUCUUCGGGAAGUCUAGUGAACCUUAUCACUUAGAGGAAGGAGAAGUCGUAACA